rnacentral:rRNA from 1 species
UACCAAGGCGAUAAUGGAUAGCUGGUCUGAGAGGACGAUCAGCCACAUUGGGACUGAGAUACGGCCCAGACUCCUACGGGAGGCAGCAGUGGGGAAUAUUGGACAAUGGACGAAAGUCCGAUCCAGCGACACCGCGUGGAGGAUGAAGGCUUUCGGGUUGUAAACUCCUUUUCUGGGGGAAGAAUAAGGUUGGGAGGAAAUGCCCAUCCGAUGACGGUACCCCAGGAAUAAGCAUCGGCAAACUUCGUGCCAGCAGCCGCGGUAAGACGAGGGAUGCAAGCGUUAUCCGGAAUUACAGGGCGUAAAGGGCGUCUAGGCGGUUGGAUAAGUCAUUUGUGAAAUCCCAGGGCUUAACCCUGGAAGGUCUUGUGAUACUGUCCGGCUUGGGUGUAGGAGAGGAGAGCGGAACUCACAGAGUAGCGGUGGAAUGCGUAGAUACUGUGAGGUACCCCGAUGGCGAAGGCAGCUCUCUGGCCUAUUACCGACGCCGAAGCGCGAAAGCGUGGGGAGCAAAGGGGAUUAGAUACCCCCGUAGUCCACGCCGCAAACGAUGUUCACUUGGUGUCGGGAGCCUAUAUAUCUCGGUGCCGGAGCUAACGCGUUAAGUGAACCGCCUGAGGAGUACGGCCGCAAGGCUAAAACUCAAGAGAAUUGACGGGUCCCCGCACAAGCGGUGGAGCACGUGGUUUAAUUCGAUAAGCGAAGAACCUCACCUGGGCUUGACAUACUAGUGGUAAGAACCGGAAACGGUGAUGACCUUUCCUUCGGGUUAGGAGCUAGUGCAGGUGAUGCAUGGCUGUCGUCAGCUCGUGUCGUGGGAUGUAGGGUUAAGUCCCGAAACGAGCGCAACCCUUGUCACUAGUUGCCAGCGGAUAAUGCCGGGGACUCUAGUGAGACUGCUGGUGAAUAGCCGGAGGAAGGCGGGGAUGACGUCAAGUCAUCAUGUCCCUUAUGCCCAGGGCGACACACAUGCUACAAUGGGAAGUACAGAGGGUUGCAAUACGGUAACGUGGAGCCAAUCUCAAAAAACUUCCCCCAGUUCGGAUUGUGGUCUGCAGCUCGACCACAUGAAGCCGGAAUCGCUAGUAAUCGUAGGUCAGCCAUACUACGGUGAAUAUGUACUCGGGGAUUGUACACACCGCCCGUCACACCAACCGAGUGGGGGGUACCUGAAGUCGCUCUUUUGAGGGCGCCUAAGGUAACCUUCGCAAGAGGGGUGAAGUCGUAACAAGGUA